GCAUGUAGGCGGAGGUUCCAGGUAAAUCCGGUACCUUUUAACGCUGAGGUGUGAUGACGAGGCACUACGGUGCUGAAGUAACAAAUGCCCUGCUUCCAGGAAAAGCCUCUAAGCAUCAGGUAACAUUAAAUCGUACCCCAAACCGACACAGGUGGUCAGGUAGAGAAUACCAAGGCGCUUGAGAGAACUCGGGUGAAGGAACUAGGCAAAAUGGUGCCGUAACUUCGGGAGAAGGCACGCUGAUAUGUAGGUGAA
rnacentral:rRNA from 1 species